GGUUGUGGCUCAGUGGUAGAGUGCUUGUCUCGCAUAUGCGGGACCCUGGAUUCAAUCCUCAGCACCA
rnacentral:tRNA from 1 species